rnacentral:rRNA from 1 species
UACGGAGGGGACUAGCGUUGUUCGGAAUUACUGGGCGUAAAGCGCGCGUAGGCGGAUUUGCAAGUCGGGGGUGAAAGCCCGAGGCUCAACCUCGGAACUGCCCUCGAUACUGCAAAUCUCGAGUCCGAGAGAGGUGAGUGGAAUUCCUAGUGUAGAGGUGAAAUUCGUAGAUAUUAGGAAGAACACCAGUGGCGAAGGCGGCUCGACUGGCUCGGUACUGACGCUGAGGCGCGAAAGCGUGGGGAGCAAACAGG